rnacentral:rRNA from 1 species
CAGCAGCCGCGGGAAAACAGAGGGUGCGAGCGUUAAUCGGAUUUACUGGGCGUAAAGCGUGCGUAGGCGGCUUUUUAAGUCGGAUGUGAAAUCCCUGAGCUUAACUUAGGAAUUGCAUUCGAUACUGGGAAGCUAGAGUAUGGGAGAGGAUGGUAGAAUUCCAGGUGUAGCGGUGAAAUGCGUAGAGAUCUGGAGGAAUACCGAUGGCGAAGGCAGCCAUCUGGCCUAAUACUGACGCUGAGGUACGAAAGCAUGGGGAGCAAACAGGAUUAGAUACCCGCGUAGUCCCUGUCUCUUAUAC